rnacentral:rRNA from 1 species
GCGACCCCCGAUCAUGUGGGACUACCCUCUGAGUUUAAGCAUAUCCAUAAGCGGAGGAAAAGAAACUUACGAGGAAUCCCCUAGUGAUGGCGAGCGAACCAGGAAGAGCCCAACUAGAAAAUCGAGGGCUCCA